rnacentral:rRNA from 1 species
UACGGAGGAUGCGAGCGUUAUCCGGAUUUAUUGGGUUUAAAGGGUGCGUAGGCGGUCCGUCAAGUCAGCGGUAAAAUUGCGGGGCUCAACCCCGUCGAGCCGUUGAAACUGUCAGACUUAAGUUGGCGAGAAGUACGCGGAAUGCGCGGUGUAGCGGUGAAAUGCAUAGAUAUCGCGCAGAACUCCGAUUGCGAAGGCAGCGUACCGGCGCCACACUGACGCUGAGGCACGAAAGCGUGGGGAUCGAACAGG